rnacentral:rRNA from 1 species
AGUGAACGCUGGCGGUAGGCCUAACACAUGCAAGUCGAACGGCAGCACAGUAAGAGCUUGCUCUUACGGGUGGCGAGUGGCGGACGGGUGAGGAAUACAUCGGAAUCUACUUUUUCGUGGGGGAUAACGUAGGGAAACUUACGCUAAUACCGCAUACGACCUACGGGUGAAAGCAGGGGAUCUUCGGACCUUGCGCGAUUGAAUGAGCCGAUGUCGGAUUAGCUAGUUGGCGGGGUAAAGGCCCACCAAGGCGACGAUCCGUAGCUGGUCUGAGAGGAUGAUCAGCCACACUGGAACUGAGACACGGUCCAGACUCCUACGGGAGGCAGCAGUGGGGAAUAUUGGACAAUGGGCGCAAGCCUGAUCCAGCCAUACCGCGUGGGUGAAGAAGGCCUUCGGGUUGUAAAGCCCUUUUGCUGGGAAAGAAGAGCAGCAGGUUAAUACCCCGCUGUUCUGACGGUACCCAAAGAAUAAGCACCGGCUAACUUCGU